ACGCACAGCCAUAUCAACCUGCAGCCCAAGACAGGAUACUUACUGAAGCUAAGCAAAGCUGAGCCUGGUCAGUACCUUGAUGGGAGACCUCAUGGGAAAAACUAGGUUGCUGUUGGAA
rnacentral:rRNA from 1 species